rnacentral:rRNA from 1 species
AGUGAACGCUGGCGGUAGGCCUAACACAUGCAAGUCGAACGGCAGCACAGUAAGAGCUUGCUCUUACGGGUGGCGAGUGGCGGACGGGUGAGGAAUACAUCGGAAUCUACUUUUUCGUGGGGGACAACGUGGGGAAACUUACGCUAAUACCGCAUAUGACCUACGGGUGAAAGCAGGGGAUCUUCGGACCUUUCGCGAUUGAAUGAGCUGAUGUCGGAUUAGCUAGUUGGCGGGGUAAAGGCCCACCAAGGCGACGAUCCGUAGCUGAUCUGAGAGGAUGAUCAGCCACACUGGAACUGAGACACGGUCCAGACUCCUACGGGAGGCAGCAGUAGGGAAUAUUCGGCAAUGGGCGCAAGCCUGAUCCAGCCAUGCCGCGUGGGUGAAGAAGGCCUUCGGGUUGUAAAGCCCUUUUAUUGGGAAAGAAAAGCAGCAGGUGAAUACCCCGCUGUUCUGACGGUACCCAAAGAAUAAGCACCGGCUAACUUCGUG